ACAUGUUGUCGAAGUUGAUCUUGACCCCUUGGGGGCGCCCAUUAAGAAGUAGGAGCUGGUGCUGGCGGGCAGCUUGGCGACCAGCUUGAUGCUCUUCUCGAGCUUGCGCGUCAACUUAACACCUGCCAGCUGCACUUCUUAUAGGUCCUCUUAUCAGAGUCUGUGGUGAUGUCGUAAUGAUUGUUGAUGAACAGUUGACGCUCCAGAUGAAAGAUCUUCUUCAGCGCCUUGCGCAUGCAGUCAAUGAAUCUCCAACUAUAAAGUCCACAUAGUCAUCGUCCAGCUGCUGCAGCGCUAGCGCCAGGCUGUCCCCAAGCUCCUACUGCUCCAUAUUUGUGCUCGUUUUGUUGCUUAAAGCAAUCGGCAAAGUAAGUUUGUUUACUGAUUAAAUAUUAUAGACAACUGACGCUCGAGCUGAGCAGACAGCUGCGUCAAAGCAGCACCAAGACUACAAGUGAAAUGGCUUUCAUAUUGAAUACGCUGGACCAAAUGGAAGCUGCAGCAUUGACCACAAAUCUGAGAUAACGCUGCAUAAGAAGUUGGCAUAAAUAGAGAAGCUGUUGCAGAUGCUGCCGCAGUAUGGCAACAUGGAAUGGCAGCAAAUGCGGCUGGCAUUGCACAGCGAAGCGGCGACCAAGGAGUAGGAAACUGAGGGGAAUCAGCCAAAGCGUAGGAGCUACCAAUUACGAUUACAAGCGUGCUUAGCUUGCUCAAGUUACAGUCCUUUAAACUUGCUGUACAUUGUGAUUAUCCCUGAAGCGAAUGCACGACUUCAGCAUACACGAUACCUGGCUGCUGCAGUCGGAUCGAGUUACCGAGUUAACAGGACUAAUAACUACAUCAGAUUUCCAUGGCAAUAGCAACAACAAUAGCUGCUCGUCGUGCUUGA